UUCGAAGGGUAAGAUUGAAAAGUUCAUUAGUUCUGGUGCUUCCCUGCGAUUGUUUGUUCAUGUUUUUAUACUCGUCAAGUGAAUUUCGUUCCGUAUGUUGCUGUUUCAUUCUAUUCAUUUCAGAAAGUUGUACGUCGUUGGACAUUCAAGCAAACGAGUCAAUUCCAAGUUCCUUUGAUUCAGCUGGAAGCGUAUGGGUCCCAUCCGGAGUCAUUGGAACAAACAGUCUAAUAAAACCAAGGCGAGACUGCAAAAGUGAUUUCAACUGUAUUAGGAAUCACAGCAACAAGAAUUGUGUCUGAAUUGGCCAUCAUUUAUUGAUAAAUGAAAAUGAUUUUUCAACUACCAUGGAGCCUGUGUCCCAAUCAACUUUAAAAAGCAGAUUUUUUUUUUCUUCCUAGGUUUCAGUAUUGAGUUUUGAUCGGGUUCAGGUAGUGUUAGCAUGCGAUCCCCCAAAUAACAAAACAAUGAAAGUUAUUGGUUGAUGUUCCACUUUAUUUCCUCUUUUACUUUCAGAUUGGCAGCGGUUAGUGAACCCCCAAAUGACAAAAGAUUAUGGACAUUCUUUAUGUCCCAAUGAUUUAGCCAUAAUCAGUGGGAAAACAUCAUGGCCGGAGGAGUGCCACCGCGAACGUUAAGGUAGGAAAUACCAUUUGUCAUCAGUUUAGAAAAAAAAGGUUGCAUUUACUUCGUGGUGAGAUGUACUGUGUUGAUCAAAAUUUGUAUCGUCUAAUUAUUUCGUCGCCUCUAAGGCGCAACUUUUGGAGUUUAAGAAAAAUUACGAAAAAUAUCGAAUAGUUUGUAUUAAAGCUCAUUUGCAGUAAUUGGAACAGUAUUUCUGGGCGGCAACAUUACUUGUUUUUAAAUUUUUCGUAGAUUUGCAAUGCUAUUUUGCCACACUCUUCUGCGGGCAAACAAAAUAUGCCCAGGUUGUCGUUUUUCCAGGUAAAAUCCAAAACUGUAUUUAUAUUCUAGCACACGGCAACAUCUGACUUUUCCAAAUUUGCUCUGUCGUUCGAAGUAUUUGGGGAACACGUUGAUAUUCUUUCAAAAGGAUGUCUUUAUCUCUUGCGCGCUGAAUGGUGAAACGAGUCGGCAAUCGCUCAAACGUCCAAUAAGUUCCCUCGUUCGUUUCAAAAAUCACGAAGUAAUGAUGUGGUUUGUUAAGUGGUUGCAUUAUUGAUAUUGGCCGAAGUCGUGGCCCAAGUGAUGACCAAUGUCUUGGCGCAAGUAUUGGCGCAAGCAUUGAAGCAGAGAAAUCAAAUUGGAAAUCGUCAGAGGACAAAUAUGCGUCGUUAUUAGUGGCAGAUUGAUUGGACUGGAUUGCUAAACUAGAAUCCCUGAUUAAAUUCAUGGUUUGAGCCACUAAAUAUGGGAGCUCCCAUCCCAUGGAAUUCUCUAACGGAAUGCUAUCUACGACAGCCGCCAUCGCAGUUGCACCCAAAGAAAUUGCAUCCUCCAACUCCGCAGUACGGAGUUCCAGCUGUGCCAUCACGACAACAGCAAUCGUUAACUUUGAAGCAACAAUCGGCAUCCACCAGUCCACACGUCAUCACAAGAACAGCUAACACAACAAUGAUGCUGAACGUAAGUGUUAUCUUUGACAUGUUUCUAUCUGCGGGAUCGUAAAUUGAACAGUCUAUUAGCAUUUAACAAAAGGAUUGCAUUAAGCUCGUAGAUGGAGCAAGUAAUUGUUUUAAACUUACCAACUUUUCAAACGACAGGCGGAUUUAAGUAUUGGCUUGAUCAACGACAAAUGUCUGAAUGUGGAUGUAGGUAUCGGGAUCUGCUUCUUUUAUAUGGAACGGGAGACACAGAAGGGGGUUACAGUGUUCCAUGACCACUUUGAUUUUAGCACCAAACUACUGCGUAAAUCAAAUGGAAUCAUGGUGUUGGAAGGUUGAGCCCGAAGGUCGGCAAAAGGAAGUUUCAGUUUCUACAUCCCCUGAAGCAUCGGACAUCAUUGAUCGCCCGCCAUCACGCGCUGUGCUGCGGCCAACAGAUGCAUUGCUUUGUUAUUUCUUUCUUUGCAGUAACGUCUGGAGCGUAACACACAUUUUAGCAACGCAUACCCAUUCCACAGGCAAGAGCUGCCACUCUGAUGCUGCGUUGCCUUUUGUAGCGAGAACCUUCGACGCCAUACAACCCCGUUUCAUCAUUGGGGUCUUUAGUCCCGCGGCUGUUUCUGUUUCAUUCCUCGCGUCCUUCGUGUUUAUAACCACAAUUCGAAUCCGCCGCUGCGCGUUAGCAACCGUGAAAAAGGAAGAGCCCUUUUAUUGCGAGUAAUUUAUUCAUUUCAAAGUUUUCUAAACGAUUUCGUUAACUAACAACAUUAUUCGAUUACGUAUUGGGAUAAUUUAAUUUGCCAUUUUCUGCUAUUUGUUGUUUGUUUAAAGGAUUGUUCUGGAAUGACGUUUCAAAAAUGUCUCUUAGGCUCCGGCCUUUUGUGUUCGCCUCUGGCUGAGCUCUUCCAGGAAAUGUACCGUUCAUUUCAUCGAGCUAGCUAUUUGAAAAAAAACAAACAUCAACUAGGGAGUCGGACUACGUGAGCUUAAAAGAGUGCCAUGGUCAAACGACCGUUUAUCGAUUAACUUGAAAACAAAAGGAAAUAUUUGGUGUCCUUCAAAUUGUCACGUAGAAGCGAAUCUUUUCCCUUGAAAUGUUAAAAAGAGAAAACGCAGCUUGUUUACGAUGUAGUCAGUAGUUUCCUCUCUCAAUUGCACGUUGCUCUGCGGUCAGUUUUAUAGCCGGGCGUUUUUUCGAUGGAACAGUAGAUUACCAUUCGCCAUAUUCUUGUUUCUUUUUAGACAUUAACUUCACCAAAAUGGAAAAUAAAAAGCCUCCAGCAAUCUUGACCGUUCCAGCGUGUGGUUUUGCUUCUCAAAAAAUAGGACCUCUGCAUAUCUCAAUCAAUCAUUACCUACUAAUGCUCAUUUUCUUUACUUCUUUUCAGACCAGCAGCAGCAACAGGAUCCCGAAAUGGUACAGCAUUUGGACACCGUCUAGGACGAUGCGAUUUUAGUCGGCGAUUUUGGGUCUCUUAACUAUGGAAGAUGAACAUUUUUACUGGCGUAUAGAGAACACGUAAGGGCAUUCUUAAUGGACAGUGGAAUGGAGAUGGCGGAAUAGUCGUUAUUGCAAUAAUUUGAAUGCAGCCAAUUAUUGGAAAACAAAAAACCAACAAAAAAACAAAAACAAAGUAAAAGUUUAUAUGAACGUAUAACUAAACAUUAGUUAGUUAAAACAAGUAAGGAUUGCGGGUUCGAGUCCUAUCAUAGGCAUCUGUAACGCACUGUAAUACCAGGCCAAAGCAACGAAACGAGGUCUAUUGGAAAAAGAAAAUAAAGACAAAAAACCACAAAAACUCGAACAAAAUCCAUUUAUUGUAUCAGUAACAGAUAGAAAAACAAGUCCAAUCUUCCAAGUGUAGUGCACCUCCAGAACAACCACCUAUUUGGACCAAAAUGUGGUGUUCGUUCAAAAAAUUCAGAUGGACAGACACGUUGGAGAAAUCUGUUUUGGCUCCGGGAAGACGCUUCAGAGUUGGGAAACAAGAGCGAAGAAGUUCGGGAAAGAGACUUCGUGAAGGUUUGCGGAGGAAGAACUGGGGACAAGUUUAGUGAAGCUUUCAAAGAGAUUUAGAGAAAUCAAAUUGGAAAUCGCCAGAAGACAAUUUGCGUUCUUAUUAGUGACAGAUUGAUUGGGCUUGAUUGCUAAACUAGAAUCCCUGAUUAAAUUCAUUGUUUGAGCCACUAAAUAUGAGAGCUCCCAUCCCAUGGAAUUCUCUAUCGGAAUGCUAUCUACGACAGCCGCCAUCGCAGUUGCACCCAAAGAUAUUGCAUCCUCCAACCCCGCAGUAUGGAGUUCCAGCUGUGCCAUCACGACAACAGCAAUCGUUAACCUUGAAGCAACAAUCGGCAUCCACCAGUCCACACAUCAUCACAAGAACAGCUAACACAACAAUGAUGCUGAACGUGCAAUUAAGUAUUGGCUUGGUCAACGACAAAUGUCUGAAUGUGGAUGUCGGUAGCGGGAUCUGCUUCUUUUAUAUGGAACGGAAGAUAUAGAAAGGCGUACAAUGUCCCAUGGCCAAAUAAUUUUAGCACUAAACUACUGCGUAAAUCAAAUGGAAUCAUGUUGUUGGAGGGUUGAGCCCGAAGGUCGACAAAAGGAAGUUUCAGUUUCUACAUCACCUGAAGCACCAGACAUCAUUAAUCCCGCGCUACCACGCAGUUGUGCUGUGGCCAAUAGAAGCACUGCUUUGUUAUUUCUUUCUUUGCAGUCACCUUUGGAGCGUAACACGCAUUUUUUCAAACCAUACCCAUUCCACAAGCAAGAGCUGCCACACUGAUCCUGUUAGACGUCUAGCGCUAUGUAAGAAAAGACUUUAGUCUAUGAAAGUUAAUCGAUAACUCGAUAUCGGUUAAUCGAGAAUUAAUCUAAAAACUUGCAUGUCAGAAUUGUUUGUAGUUGUGUUUUUUACGUUUUGCUAAAGUCGCGUCUAUUAUGUUGUGUUAGAGGAUCACGAAAAUAAAAAGAUACAAAGAAAGUGCACACAGAAAACUGAAUCAAAUGUGCUUCAUUGACCGUUAUUAACAAUCAACAGAGAUGAAGAGUGAACUGAUGUUGGCUGGGGGUUGGCUGCCUGUUGCUGUUAGCAAUUAUUUUC